CUUCCUUUGGCCAAUAGGAAGGCAGGACUUUUAUUCUUGGGCGCAUUGAGCAAAUGGAUUCUCUCUGUUGAGAGAACAAUUGACUUUGCUUCCUCAGUGAUUGAAGAUGACUCUCCAGUAAUGAGGUUCCAUAACCUGCUGAUGGUUGCCAUUUGUGGUGUCUUCUUGCUGGUGUCUUCAGGAGCUGCUCUCAACUUGGCCGCCAGGCGCUGCUGGUCAAGAGCGGGAAGAUGCCGGGGUGCCCAGUGCUUCUAUGAUGAGCUGGAGAUCGGAACUUGUUACAAUACGAGAAUGAAAUGCUGCCGAACGAAAGAAUAAGAGGACCAACGGAUCGGGAUGUACUGUAGACCUAAGCAAGAGUGUCUCAAGCAUCCUGAGAUCGCUGUCUGCCUUUAGAUAACAAGUUCUUAAUUCUCAACAAGCCUACCAUGCAGUAGGAGGGAAAUCACAA